AUUGAUCGCUGGCGGCAGGCCUAACACAUGCAAGUCGAACGGUAACAGGAAGAAGCUUGCUUCUUUGCUGACGAGUGGCGGACGGGUGAGUAAUGUCUGGGAAACUGCCUGAUGGAGGGGGAUAACUACUGGAAACGGUAGCUAAUACCGCAUAAUGUCGCAAGACCAAAGAGGGGGACCUUCGGGCCUCUUGCCAUCGGAUGUGCCCAGAUGGGAUUAGCUAGUAGGUGGGGUAACGGCUCACCUAGGCGACGAUCCCUAGCUGGUCUGAGAGGAUGACCAGCCACACUGGAACUGAGACACGGUCCAGACUCCUACGGGAGGCAGCAGUGGGGAAUAUUGCACAAUGGGCGCAAGCCUGAUGCAGCUAUGCCGCGUGUAUGAAGAAGGCCUUCGGGUUGUAAAGUACUUUCAGCGGGGAGGAAGGGAGUAAAGUUAAUACCUUUGCUCAUUGACGUUACCCGCAGAAGAAGCACCGGCUAACUCCGUG
rnacentral:rRNA from 1 species